UUCCAUUCAUUGCUUCAAGCUGGUAAUAAUACAAAGAGAUGGUACGUUGUACAUAGAAAGUAGAACUUGAACAAGUAAAAUUGUCCCACUUAUAUUGAAAUCUAAAAUUAACAUUCGAAGGAAUAAAUAAAUUAAAAAAAAAAAAAAAAAAUAAAAUAUCCAUUGCAUCAGCCUUGACAUUGUAGGACCUACAACAAAAUUCUUCACUCCUUCUCGAUACUCAUUAGUCGUCCUACAGUACAAAUAAAAAAGUAAGAUCAUUAACGUACGGUAAGCAAAAAUCAGGUAUGAAAGCAUACUAAUUAAAUUCUUAUUUCAAUACCUUUUAAGAUGAACCCAUCCUUUGUCCAUCACGAUGAUUACAAAUGCCAACUUCAAACCUGAUUAAACAAACUCAAAAAUGUGAUUGACGCACUAUUUAAGUUUAAAGUUAUAAAGAAUUCAAAAAUGUGAUCUAUGUCUCAGAAGAAUAUUUGUAGCUGAGGAUCAAAACAUGUAUGAAUUUCAAUUUCUCAAUGCAAACUAAGUUGGAUCUUAUUUAACUACCUUCAGCUUACAAAGCCCUUUUCUAGAAAGUCCUGGAAGAGAUUCUAGAAUUAGAACACUGUAAAGAAACCUAUCAACCCUACUUUAAUUUAUAGAUACAAUACCAAUCAAGCAGCACAUUCAACUAAAAAUACAAACGCGUAUGAUGACAAGACUAGAAAAAUUCCAUAAAAAUAGUCUAAAUAAUACCUAAAGAAAUGCAAGCCACAAACAAUUUGAAGCAUACACAAACCAUGUGAACAAGUAAAUUGAAUUAAGAUAACUAACAAGUAAUUGGCAAUAACAAAAUCCCAACUAACAUCAUACACAAAGCUAAACUAACUCAACUACAGAACACCUCAACUGCAUCAAUUCAACUACAGAACACCUCAACUGCAUCAAUUGGACAGCCCGCAAAUGAGCUAUAACUCAUUUGCCUUGAAUAUUCUAGAGUGCUGUUCCAUGUGAAGUAUUUGAGAAAUAACAAUUAUCUGAUCUUAUCUUUGUCAAUUCUCAUAAAAUCUACCUUGUUCACCAUGUUUCCAAUGUUUCCUUCAAAACUGUAAUUGAUUUCUUUGUUUGCAAUGAUAAUGUUAUACAGCUAGAAGGCUCUUUCUAAACUAGUUUAACUGACUGACAGAAAGAGAUACAGUACAUUGAAUUUUCAGCCUGCAUUAAGCAGCGUCAGGUAGGAGAAAGUCCAGUUAAGGAUAGAAACAAAAUUAAGUCCUAUUACUAGUAAUGGUAUCAUCCCAGUUGUUGAAUGAAUGCAGUACCACUGAUUCUCCACUUCCUUUUUAUCGUCGUCCUAAAGGGUCGAAUUUAUACAUAUUAAUCCGUUACAACACCAAAUACAACAUUUAUCGUGAUUGGUUCUGCAUUGAUCCAAAAGGUAUCAAAUUCAACAGCAGCUGCCAGCAACAAUUUGAUGAUCAGUUUGGUAACCAAACAAAAUUUCUCAGCAAACCAUUGUUCAGUAUGCCACCUGAUAUGCUUCACCAUGUUACUUGUGUUGCCGUUGGCUCUAAGAUUUACUCUUUGGGUGGCUAUGACCGUACUACUUAUAUCUCUCACCCUAGAAUUUAUAACAAAGCCUAUGUUUACGACACAGCAGCACAUGACAACAACAACGUAAUCAAUUAACUUAAUUGAGUGAUCAGACCUGUAUUUCUCAUUGAGUGAUCAAUAAUAAUUCUACCUUAAUAAAAAAAAAAAAAAAAAAUAGAAUCUAUGAUGAUAUAAACAUAAUCUUAACAUCAACCAUAUUAUAAAACUAACAUGAUUAACACCCUCAUAUACAAAUUUAAGUUUUGAAAAUUAUAAAAAUCAAAUAACUAACUUUUGCAACAAUGGAAUUCCUUCAAUAAAUUUCACAACUAUCAAACCAUUAGAAAACAUAAAAAAAUUACCUAUAUUUAAUCAGAAACAGGGCAACGAAACACGAAUUGCAAGAGAUAAAGUUGAUGACUUCGCCGAAGAAUCCAAUUGGAGAGGUGAAAAGGAGUUAAUAGAGAGAAAACUGCUGGUUUAACAAUGAAAAUUAGAGAGAUCGAUUUUGCUGAUCUGUAGAGAAGAUGAUGCAAAGCUGUAGAGAAGAUGCAAAGCUUGUUGGACUGGGCUUUACAAAUUUUUCUUAAAUAGGCCUAGGUAAGUCUGUAAUGGGUCGGGUCAUAUGUCUUUUUUCUUAUGUUUUUUGAC
rnacentral:lncRNA from 1 species